rnacentral:rRNA from 1 species
GACAGAGGUCCCGAGCGUUAGGCGGAAUCACUGGGCUUAAAGCGUGUGUAGGCGGAUUUGUAAGUACCUUGUGAAAUCCCACGGCUUAACCGUGGAACUGCUGGGUAUACUGCGAAUCUUGGGCCAUCUAGGGGCUAGCGGAACAAACGGUGGAGCGGUGAAAUGCGUAGAUAUCGUUUGGAACGCCAAUGGUGAAAACAGCUAGCUGGGGAUGUGCCGACGCUGAGACACGAAAGCCAGGGGAGCGAAAGC